UAAAAAAAAAAAAAAAAAAUAAAAAGGAAAAAAAAUGCAUAUUGAAACUGAAAGUGUCUCAGUUUGAAGCAGUUUUCAUCACAAAGUAAAAAGGAAAAAAAAUGUAUACAGGUACUUUCCUAGUGAAUAACACUGCAAUAGAGUAUAUUUUCGCUUGUCAAGUCCCCUAGAAAUGGAUUAAAGUCUGAAAUUAAAUGGUAAUUAUGGCCAAAGAAUUGGAUACAUGCAUCAAAAAUUAAAUAAGGCUCCACUGACACAAUCUUGCCACUCAUCCCCACCCCCUUCUCUCUUUUUCUCAGUGAAAUACAAAAGAAAAUUGAAAAUAAAUCGAUGAUUUGCAACAGAAACCAUUGCAUCGCUGCAACUAGGAGAAACCCCACAUCCCAUAAACAUAUACAGAUUCCAUUUAAUGGCAAGACAGGGUAACAUGAGCCAUUUAAUGAAGUAUGAUUACCAACAUUUGUAUUCAAUGAUCAACAAUCAUACAAAGCUUGAAUGUACUUAUGGAAAAUUCAGAAAAUAAGCAUGAUAAAUCAUGUCAAUAGAUGGCAUUGCAUUACAAUACUUCAUCCUGUUGAGGAUAUAAUAAACCAUUCUCGUUCCCAAGAGGCAAUGAAGGUGGAGUUCCAGGUGGGAUAGAAGCAGCACCAUUCUCACCAGCACAUAUGCACAAAGCCUCUGCAUCCCUGAGGAUUGCAUCAAGGUCAAUAUGGCCACUCAGCUCAUUGAUGAACUUCAAGAGCGUGUCAAAGUCCAUCUGCUCUCCCAUUAUCUUGUUGCGAUAUCGCUUCAAGAUUGCAACACAUGCAUACAGAUGCAGGUGUUCAGACAAAUAGUGUGUCCACAAUACCUCCCACAGACGCAUAGUUUUCUCAUAUUCAAAUUCUCUUUUAAAUUGUAUUAGAAUCCAGCGGAAACAAAAGAAGUAAUUCAAGCAAUCAUUCUGCUUGAAAUAGUUAUGCAAUGGACUGUCUAGUAACUCUACCAG
rnacentral:misc_RNA from 1 species